AUUGAACGCUGGCGGAAUGCUUUACACAUGCAAGUCGAACGGCAGCACGAGAGCUUGCUCUUGGUGGCGAGUGGCGAACGGGUGAGUAAUAUAUCGGAACGUAUCCAAUAAUGGGGGAUAACUAAUCGAAAGGUUAGCUAAUACCGCAUACGCCCUACGGGGGAAAGCAGGGGAUCUUCGGGCCUCGCGCGAUUGGAGCGGCCGAUAUCAGAUUAGGUAGUUGGUAGGGUAAAAGCCUACCAAGCCUGCGAUCUGUAGCUGGUCUGAGAGGACGACCAGCCACACUGGAACUGAGACACGGUCCAGACUCCUACGGGAGGCAGCAGUAGGGAAUAUUGGGCAAUGGACGCAAGUCUGACCCAGCCAUGCCGCGUGCAGGAUGAAGGCGUUAUGCGUUGUAAACUGCUUUUAUACAGGAAGAAACGACUCUUGCGAGAGGCAUUGACGGUACUGUAUGAAUAAGCACCGGCUAACUCCGUG
rnacentral:rRNA from 1 species